rnacentral:tRNA from 1 species
GAGGGUAUAGCUCAGAGGUAGAGUGCCUGCUUAGCAUGCACGAGGUCCUGGGUUCAAUCCCCAGUACCUCCA